rnacentral:rRNA from 1 species
AGCAGUAGCCGCGGUAAUACGUAGGUGGCGAGCGUUGUCCGGAAUCAUUGGGCGUAAAGGGAGCGCAGGCGGGCAUGUAAGUCUUUCUUAAAAGUUCGGGGCUCAACCCCGUGAUGGGAAAGAAACUACAUGUCUUGAGUACAGGAGAGGAAAGCGGAAUUCCUAGUGUAGCGGUGAAAUGCGUAGAUAUUAGGAAGAACACCAGUGGCGAAGGCGACUUUCUGGACGAAAACUGACGCUGAGGCGCGAAAGCCAGGGGAGCGAACGGGAUUAGAUACCCCUGUAGUCCCUGUCUCUUAUACA